CGGCGGACGGGUGAGUAACACGUGGGCAACCUGCCUGUAAGAACUGGGAUAACUUCGGGAAACCGGAGCUAAUACCGGAUAAUGCAUUUCCUCUCAUGGGGAUAUGCUGAAAGAUGGUUUCGGCUAUCACUUACAGAUGGGCCCGCGGCGCAUUAGCUAGUUGGUGAGGUAACGGCUCACCAAGGCAACGAUGCGUAGCCGACCUGAGAGGGUGAUCGGCCACACUGGGACUGAGACACGGCCCAGACUCCUACGGGAGGCAGCAGUAGGGAAUCUUCCGCAAUGGACGAAAGUCUGACGGAGCAACGCCGCGUGAGUGAUGAAGGUUUUCGGAUCGUAAAACUCUGUUGUCAGGGAAGAACAAGUGCCGGAGUAACUGCCGGCACCUUGACGGUACCUGACCAGAAAGCCACGGCUAACUACGUGCCAGCAGCCGCGGUAAUACGUAGGUGGCAAGCGUUGUCCGGAAUUAUUGGGCGUAAAGCGCGCGCAGGCGGUCUCUUAAGUCUGAUGUGAAAGCCCACGGCUCAACCGUGGAGGGUCAUUGGAAA
rnacentral:rRNA from 1 species